rnacentral:lncRNA from 1 species
UUGCCAACAUUACUUGUAUGCUUGUUCAAUGCUAUUCUGCGAUUUACAGCACCAUCGGCCGACCUCGACCAAACCGGGUGCCGGUUGGGACCCGCCACCAACCCCGCCCUAGCGGACAUGUCUGAGCACACCCGCCCAACUCAAAUACUCCGCCUGGCCCCGCCGGCCUUGCCAACAUUACUUGUAUGCUUGUUCAAUGCUAUUCUGCGAUAUACAGCACCAUCGGCCGACCUCGACCAAACCGGGUGCCGGCUGGGACCCGCCACAACCCCGCCCUAGCGGACAUGUCUGAGCACACCCGCCCAACUCAAAUACUCCGCCUGGCCCCGCCGGCCUUGCCAACAUUACUUGUAUGCUUGUUCAAUGCUAUUCUGCGAUUUACAGCACCAUCGGCCGAC